rnacentral:rRNA from 1 species
GAAAUUUUUAAUUUAUAAAAGACAAGCUGAUCCCGUUAGAACUCAAGAUUCUUAAACUUUUAUAAAGCCAGAAAUACUCAAUUGGGGAAGCAUGGUUACAAAAUUUU